rnacentral:rRNA from 1 species
GACGAACGCUGGCGGCGUGCCUAACACAUGCAAGUCAACUUGACUGAAGGAGCAAUCUGACAGUAGAGUGGCGCAAGGGUGCGUAACGCGUAAGUAACUUGCCCCAAGGUAAGGAAUAACCGUCGAGAAAUCGGCGCUAAUACCUCAUAAUGCAGCGGAUCCGCAUGGAUAUGUUGUUAAAGGUUUACCGCCUUGGGAUAGGCUUGCGUCUGAUUAGCUAGUUGGUGUGGUAACGGCACACCAAGGCUACGAUCAGUAACUGGUCUGAGAGGAUGAUCAGUCACACUGGAACUGAGACACGGUCCAGACUCUACGGGAGGCAGCAGUGAGGAAUAUUGGGCAAUGCUCGAAAGAGUGACCCAGCAACGCCGCGUGGAGGAUGAAGGUAUUCUACGUAUCGUAAACUCCCUGUGAGAGCAGACGAAAGACAGAUUAUAAUCUGGAUGACUGUAU